UGGGGAAUAUUGGACAAUGGGGGAAACCCUGAUCCAGCCAUGCCGCGUGAGUGAUGAAGGCCCUAGGGUUGUAAAGCUCUUUUACCCGCGAAGAUAAUGACGGUAGCGGGAGAAUAAGCUCCGGCUAACUCCGUGCCAGCAGCCGCGGUAAUACAGAGGGUGCAAACGUUGCUCGGAAUGACUGGGCGUAAAGCGCGCGCAGGUGGCCCGUUAAGUCGGCUGUGAAAUCCCCUGGCUCAACCAGGGAAGUGCAGUCGAUACUGGCGGGCUCGAGUCCCGGAGAGGGUGGUAGAAUUCCCAGUGUAGAGGUGAAAUUCGUAGAUAUUGGGAGGAAUACCGGUGGCGAAGGCGACCACCUGGACGGGUACUGACACUGAGGCGCGAAAGCGUGGGGAGCAAACAGGAUUAGAUACCCCGGUAGUCC
rnacentral:rRNA from 1 species